rnacentral:rRNA from 1 species
GAUGAACGCUGGCGGCGUGCCUAAUACAUGCAAGUCGAGCGAACAGACGAGGAGCUUGCUCCUCUGACGUUAGCGGCGGACGGGUGAGUAACACGUGGAUAACCUACCUAUAAGACUGGGAUAACUUCGGGAAACCGGAGCUAAUACCGGAUAACAUUUUGAACCGCAUGGUUCAACAGUGAAAGACGGUCUUGCUGUCGCUUAUAGAUGGAUCCGCGCCGCAUUAGCUAGUUGGUAAGGUAACGGCUUACCAAGGCAACGAUGCGUAGCCGACCUGAGAGGGUGAUCGGCCACACUGGAACUGAGACACGGUCCAGACUCCUACGGGAGGCAGCAGUAGGGAAUCUUCCGCAAUGGGCGAAAGCCUGACGGAGCAACGCCGCGUGAGUGAAGAAGGUCUUCGGAUCGUAAAACUCUGUUAUUAGGGAAGAACAAAUGUGUAAGUAACUAUGCACGUCUUGACGGUACCUAAUCAGAAAGCCACGGCUAACUACGUG